rnacentral:rRNA from 1 species
GCUUGUUGGUGGGGUAAAGGCCUACCAAGGCGAUGAUCGAUAGCUGGUCUGAGAGGAUGAUCAGCCACACUGGGACUGAGACACGGCCCAGACUCCUACGGGAGGCAGCAGUGGGGAAUAUUGGACAAUGGGCGAAAGCCUGAUCCAGCAAUGCCGCGUGUGUGAAGAAGGUCUUCGGAUUGUAAAGCACUUUCGACGGGGACGAUGAUGACGGUACCCGUAGAAGAAGCCCCGGCUAACUUCGUGCCAGCAGCCGCGGUAAUACGAAGGGGGCUAGCGUUGCUCGGAAUGACUGGGCGUAAAGGGCGCGUAGGCGGUUUGCACAGUCAGAUGUGAAAUUCCAGGGCUUAACCUUGGGGCUGCAUUUGAUACGUGUAGACUAGAGUGUGAGAGAGGGUUGUGGAAUUCCCAGUGUAGAGGUGAAAUUCGUAGAUAUUGGGAAGAACACCGGUGGCGAAGGCGGCAACCUG